rnacentral:rRNA from 1 species
UGGCGCACGGGUGCGUAACGCGUAACCAACCUACCCGAAUCUGGGGGAUAGCCCGCCGAAAGGCGGAUUAAUACCGCAUAAAACUGCAGCACGGCAUCGUGUAACAGUUAAAGAUUUAUUGGAUUCGGAUGGGGUUGCGUGCCAUUAGCUAGUUGGCGGGGUAACGGCCCACCAAGGCGACGAUGGCUAGGGGAGCUGAGAGGCUGGUCCCCCACACGGGCACUGAGAUACGGGCCCGACUCCUACGGGAGGCAGCAGUAGGGAAUAUUGGGCAAUGGACGCGAGUCUGACCCAGCCAUGCCGCGUGCAGGAUGAAGGCUUUCUGAGUCGUAAACUGCUUUUACCAGGGAAGAAAAAAGGGGAUGCGUCCUCUACUGACGGUACCUGGUGAAUAAGCACCGGCUAACUCCGUGCCAGCAGCCGCGGUAAUACGGAGGGUGCAAGCGUUGUCCGGAUUUAUUGGGUUUAAAGGGUGCGUAGGCGGCUGAUUAAGUCUGGGGUGAAAGCCCGUUGCUCAACAACGGAACUGCCCUGGAAACUGGUUAGCUUGAGUACAGACGAGGGUGGCGGAAUGGAUACUGUAGCGGUGAAAUGCAUAGAUAGUAUCCAGAACCCCGAUUGCGAAGGCAGCUGCCUAGACUGUAACUGACGCUGAGGCAC